CAUGCAAGUCGAACGGACCGAUCCUGUCGCAGCGGACCGAGGAUUCGUCUGACGUCCAAAGCUUGGGAUAGGUUAGUGGCGUACGGGUGAGUAACACGUAGGUGACCUGCCCCGAAGAGGGGGAUAACUGCUGGAAACGGCAGCUAAUACCCCAUGUGAUCGGCGAUUCGUUUCGCUGAUUAAAGCUCCGGCGCUUCGGGAGGGGCCUGCGGCCGAUUAGCUAGUUGGUGGGGUAAUGGCUCACCAAGGCGAUGAUCGGUAGCUGGUCUGAGAGGAUGAUCAGCCACACUGGCACUGACACACGGGCCAGACUCCUACGGGAGGCAGCAGUGAGGAAUAUUGCGCAAUGGGGGAAACCCUGACGCAGCAACGCCGUGUGGGCGAAGAAGGUCUUCGGAUCGUAAAGCCCUUUUCUCCCGGACGAGAAAGGACGG
rnacentral:rRNA from 1 species